GAUGAACGCUAGCUACAGGCUUAACACAUGCAAGUCGAGGGGCAGCAUGGUCUUAGCUUGCUAAGGCCGAUGGCGACCGGCGCACGGGUGAGUAACACGUAUCCAACCUGCCGUCUACUCUUGGACAGCCUUCUGAAAGGAAGAUUAAUACAAGAUGGCAUCAUGAGUCCGCAUGUUCACAUGAUUAAAGGUAUUCCGGUAGACGAUGGGGAUGCGUUCCAUUAGAUAGUAGGCGGGGUAACGGCCCACCUAGUCUUCGAUGGAUAGGGGUUCUGAGAGGAAGGUCCCCCACAUUGGAACUGAGACACGGUCCAAACUCCUACGGGAGGCAGCAGUGAGGAAUAUUGGUCAAUGGGCGAGAGCCUGAACCAGCCAAGUAGCGUGAAGGAUGACUGCCCUAUGGGUUGUAAACUUCUUUUAUAAAGGAAUAAAGUCGGGUAUGGAUACCCGUUUGCAUGUACUUUAUGAAUAAGGAUCGGCUAACUCCGUGCCAGCAGCCGCGGUAAUACGGAGGAUCCGAGCGUUAUCCGGAUUUAUUGGGUUUAAAGGGAGCGUAGAUGGAUGUUUAAGUCAGUUGUGAAAGUUUGCGGCUCAACCGUAAAAUUGCAGUUGAUACUGGAUAUCUUGAGUGCAGUUGAGGCAGGCGGAAUUCGUGGUGUAGCGGUGAAAUGCUUAGAUAUCACGAAGAACUCCGAUUGCGAAGGCAGCCUGCUAAGCCGCAACUGACAUUGAGGCUCGAAAGUGUGGGUAUCAAACAGGAUUAGAUACCCUGGUAGUCCACACGGUAAACGAUGAAUACUCGCUGUUUGCGAUAUACUGCAAGCGGCCAAGCGAAAGCGUUAAGUAUUCCACCUGGGGAGUACGCCGGCAACGGUGAAACUCAAAGGAAUUUACGGGGGCCCGCACAAGCGGAGGAACAUGUGGUUUAAUUCGAUGAUACGCGAGGAACCUUACCCGGGCUUAAAUUGCAGAUGAAUUACGGUGAAAGCCGUAAGCCGCAAGGCAUCUGUGAAGGUGCUGCAUGGUUGUCGUCAGCUCGUGCCGUGAGGUGUCGGCUUAAGUGCCAUAACGAGCGCAACCCUUGUUGUCAGUUACUAACAGGUUCCGCUGAGGACUCUGACAAGACUGCCAUCGUAAGAUGUGAGGAAGGUGGGGAUGACGUCAAAUCAGCACGGCCCUUACGUCCGGGGCUACACACGUGUUACAAUGGGGGGUACAGAGGGCCGCUACCACGCGAGUGGAUGCCAAUCCCCAAAACCUCUCUCAGUUCGGACUGGAGUCUGCAACCCGACUCCACGAAGCUGGAUUCGCUAGUAAUCGCGCAUCAGCCACGGCGCGGUGAAUACGUUCCCGGGCCUUGUACACACCGCCCGUCAAGCCAUGGGAGCCGGGGGUACCUGAAGUGCGUAACCGCGAGGAGCGCCCUAGGGUAAAACUGGUGACUGGGG
rnacentral:rRNA from 1 species